CACGUAGGGGGCGAGCGUUGUCCGGAUUUAUUGGGCGUAAAGAGCUCGUAGGCGGCUUUGUCAGUCGGGUGUGAAACCUCCAGGCUCAACCUGGAGCCGCCACCCGAUACUGCAAUAGCUAGAGUCCGGUAGGGGAGCAUGGAACUCCUGGUGUAGCGGUGAAAUGCGCAGAUAUCAGGAGGAACACCAGCGGCGAAGGCGGCGCUCUGGGCCGGUACUGACGCUGAGGAGCGAAAGCGUGGGGAGCAAACAGG
rnacentral:rRNA from 1 species